rnacentral:rRNA from 1 species
ACGAACGCUGGCGGCGUGCUUAACACAUGCACGUCGCACGGAAAGGCCCUUCGGGGUCCUCGAGUGGCGAACGGGUGAGUAACACGUGGGUGAUCUGCCCUGCACUUUGGGAUAAGCCUGGGAAACUGGGUCUAAUACCGAAUAUGAUCAUCGGCUUCAUGGUCGGUGGUGGAAAGCUUUUGCGGUGUGGGAUGGGCCCGCGGCCUAUCAGCUUGUUGGUGGGGUAAUGGCCUACCAAGGCGACGACGGGUAGCCGGCCUGAGAGGGUGACCGGCCACACUGGGACUGAGAUACGGCCCAGACUCCUACGGGAGGCAGCAGUGGGGAAUAUUGCACAAUGGGCGCAAGCCUGAUGCAGCGACGCCGCGUGAGGGAUGACGGCCUUCGGGUUGUAAACCUCUUUCAGCACAGACGAAGCGCAAGUGACGGUAUGUGCAGAAGAAGGACCGGCCAACUACGUG